rnacentral:misc_RNA from 1 species
GAUGAAGAACGCAGCGAAAUGCGAUAAGUAAUGUGAAUUGCAGAAUUCAGUGAAUCAUCGAAUCUUUGAACGCACAUUGCGCCCCUUGGUAUUCCGAGGGGCAUGCCUGUUCGAGCGUCAUUAUAACCCCUCAAGCUCAGCUUGGUGUUGGGGCCUGCCGCACGGGCAGCCCUUAAAAUCAGUGGCGGUGCCAUCUGGCUCUAAGCGUAGUAAUUCUUCUCGCUAUAGAGUCCCAGUGGAUGCUUGCCAUUAACCCCCAAUUUUCUAUGGUUGACCUCGGAUCAGGUAGGGAUACCCGCUGAACUUAAGCAUAUCAAUAAGCGGAGGA